AUGAUAAUCGCCCCUACCAAGGUAAAUCUUGGACUUGUCCACAACAUCAAGUUAGACCUCUCAGCUCUUUUGAUUGGAUCGACUUCUUCUGACAAUGGAUACUCACUGCGCCGUGGGUUCCAGGUCACAUAUUUGUUCGGUGAGAACUCUGAGAACAGGGUCUUCUUCCCUUUCUUCUUAAAGGUAGACCAAGCCUUAUCCCAGUCGGUUGACGAUGUGUCACCUGAAAAGUAA
rnacentral:rRNA from 1 species